rnacentral:rRNA from 1 species
AAAAACUCCGGUGGUAUACGAUGGAUCCGCGUCUGAUUAGCUGGUUGGCGGGGUAACAGCCCACCAAGGCGACGAUCAGUAGCCGGCCUGAGAGGGUGAACGGCCACAUUGGGACUGAGACACGGCCCAAACUCCUACGGGAGGCAGCAGUGGGGAAUAUUGCACAAUGGGGGAAACCCUGAUGCAGCGACGCCGCGUGAGUGAAGAAGUAUUUCGGUAUGUAAAGCUCUAUCAGCAGGGAAGAAAAUGACGGUACCUGACUAAGAAGCCCCGGCUAACUACGUGCCAGCAGCCGCGGUAAUACGUAGGGGGCAAGCGUUAUCCGGAUUUACUGGGUGUAAAGGGAGCGUAGACGGCAGCGCAAGUCUGAAGUGAAAUCCCAUGGCUUAACCAUGGAACUGCUUUGGAAACUGUGCAGCUGGAGUGCAGGAGAGGUAAGCGGAAUUCCUAGUGUAGCGGUGAAAUGCGUAGAUAUUAGGAGGAACACCAGUGGCGAAGGCGGCUUACUGGACUGUAACUGACGUUGAGGCUCGAAAGCGUGGGGAGCAAACAGGAUUAGAUACCCUGGUAGUCCACGCCGUAAACGAUG